rnacentral:lncRNA from 1 species
AAACAGUGAUAUUUGAGGCUUUUGCUUGUUCUUAAGGAUUUAAUUGAGAAUGGCUCUUGGGAAUAUGACCUAAAAGAGGUUAAUUAUUAUUGUAAUCAAAGAAUUUUAAUCUUGAAAAACCAAUCACAAUUACAAAGUUUAGUUAGAGUUACCAAAUAGACAUGUUCAGGACUCUAAGGGAAUUAUCCCAGGAAUGGCAUGUCUCUGGUAGAGGCUGCGGCUUUAGCAGAAUGAGAAUUUGUGUAGAUGUGGGACAGAGCAGAUAGUGAGCCACCAACACGCAGUGUGGGCUCCACUCUGGGAGCAUGGGCUACCAUCUUCAAGUCCACCACUGAGCCAAGAAGGGAGAUGGAGCAAAGAUGUCUCUCAAUGUCUUCCAAGUUUAAACUGAGAUGUAUGCAAAGAAAACAUCCAAGAUACAAAUGUUCUUGAGCCCUAGCUGGGAUGUUGUCCCCAAAUCACUAUGUAGGCUCUCAACCUGAGGAACUGUUCCAUUCUACCUAUCAGUUACAAAUAAAAUUAGUAAAAAUUAGUAAAAACUGCAAGGAAAUUGUGUUUGUUUCUAUUUGCCGUUACUGCUCAAAUAAUAGUGGCAGCCUGAAGCACUGGGUUUAAAAGAUUUUGAGGCUACAUCUGAAUAUGUUGGAGUACCACGAUACAAAAGUGAUUUCUUCUAUAGGUAUGCAUAAGAAAGGAAAUGUAUG